rnacentral:lncRNA from 1 species
CAUCAAUCAGGAAGUGGGCCCAGCAGCACAUGAGGCGAUGGGGACAUAGAGACAGUGGACAAUCCUUGGUUAAAGUCAGCCAGACUGCAGCCCUGAUGCACAAGUGCUGCACUGUGGAAUCAGUAUUCCGAGCUGGUUCCUAUGGACACAGCAUUCUUAAAGCCAGCAACAUCAUCACCAGACUCCUGAACAGAAGACAAACAGGCCCUGCGCGUGCUUUCUCGCUGCCCCACUAGAGGGCGAGUGGUGCACAACCGCAGGACCGCCUGUCUACAUGUGGAGAUAGACACACACACAAACACAGGGAACGAAGGACUGGUCAUCGCGCUGAGCAGUGGGUGAUAAAACUACUAAUUAGCCACAGGCUGUUCAUCUUUUCCAUUUAUGCUCACCUGCAGACACGAAGAGGAUUCCUGCACUGAGGAUGAUAUUGUGGCGGGACUUGUAGAACUCGCUGGCAGCUAUACAGAGACCACCCAUGAAGAGCAGGAUGACGCUGAGGAUGGGGAAGAUACUAGACGCUCGCACGGCUCCUACACAUGCAGACACAGAGAGAGAGAGAGAGAGAGAGAGAGAGAGAGAGAGAGAGAGAGAGAGAACACAAGGUGAGCAUAAGAUGUUUUCAGUUCCAGAAUAUUACUUGUUGAAUGAAUCUGUGCAAAGUACAGUGAGAGAGGGACCAUGCCGGAUGAAGAAAGCUGUGAUUUCAGCCAAUCGACACUUUGUCAGUAGAGUAAACAACACUUGCACCCUUUAAAAUGGUGCGGAAGAGCAAUUAGAGGUCAGAAGUCUCACCUAACACUCGUACUCCAUGACUGAGAAGGGCGAGAGACACCAGACCUUUUACAGAUGCCUCUAUUUGCACACAAUAUGUUUGUAGUGAGACUUCAACCAAAAAAAGCUGGCUUCUUUCGAGCCAUGAAAUGACAAGUGAAUGUGCUAAUGAAUGUUUUUAGGACAGCCUGCCAACUCACCAAGUUAUUCAACUCAAUGUUUGAGUAGCUUUUAAAGAUAAAGUUCUACUUUUAAAUAAGUGCCUCAGCCUACACUUUUUGUACAAACAUAAAAUACAUUGCUCCA